UACGUAGGGGGCGAGCGUUGUCCGGAAUUAUUGGGCGUAAAGAGCGUGUAGGCGGUUCGGUAAGUCCGCCGUGAAAACCUGGGGCUCAACCCUGGGCGUGCGGUGGAUACUGCUGGGCUAGAGGAUGGUAGAGGCGAGUGGAAUUCCCGGUGUAGCGGUGAAAUGCGCAGAUAUCGGGAGGAACACCUAUGGCGAAGGCAGCUCGCUGGGACGUUACUGACGCUGAGACGCGAAAGCGUGGGGAGCAAACAGG
rnacentral:rRNA from 1 species